GCUGCAGGAAUGAGCAAAAAGGAGGAUCAUCAGUGCCCCUUUUCGUGUCUACGGAGAAGCACCGCUAAUCCCGAUGUUACACGUUGCGUGGGGUUUUCGAUUUUUUUUGUUGCAGUCGCGCUGUUCGGCUAUCCGAUGCGUUUUUCGGCUGUUACGCGCAUUGUUUGGCACGAUGUCCGACGUUUCGCUCCGCGUGCGUGGAGGUUCUGCACCAAUUAAUGGCAUUCAAUUGACCAUGCUGGGAGAUUUUUUUCAGGAAUUCGGUUACUGAAGAAUCUCUCAGCACGUGGAGUGGAGCUUCAGACAUCAUCCGGAACAAUACGUGACUCUACUCUGUGGUUAAGGAGGUGCAACCCAAAAAGGUGCUGAUGAUGGCAAAUAAUUUGAAACGGAAGGCAGUGGCACAGAAACAAAGGACAACAAGGAACAGUUUAGUGAGGAGGCAAUAGAUCAAGC